rnacentral:rRNA from 1 species
AUGGCGACUCCGACCACGAGCCGUCUCCAUGGCCACCUCCUCCCCGCCCUCCCGUCCCGUCCUCCUCGCGUUCCGUCCUCCUCAGCCCCAUCAGCCCGGGGACCCAGCCGCCGGUCUUCCUCCCGGCUCUACUGCUCCUCGCCGCCGGUGGAAGCGCCGCCGUCAGGGAAGGGCGGCGAGUACCGGCCCUCCUUCGCCGACGACCUCCUACUCGCCUUCUUCCGGGCCAAGAUGGUGGAGGAGGUUGGGUGGGAUUCUCAAAAGCCUGGAUACGACGGGCUGAUCGAAGUUGCGAAUCGCCUCAUGAUCAAGGGGAAGAGUGCUUCGGAGACUGAGCAAUCAGCUGUCCGGGUACUCCAGACACUGUUCCCCCCUCUGUUGCUGGUCCUUUUCAAAGCUCUUUUAGCACCAAUUGCUAAUGGCCAAAUUGCAUCCAUGAUGGUAGCUAGAGCAACAGCGCUUUCGUGCCAAUGGUUGAUGGGCACAUGUUCAGUGAAUUCUGUAACACUGCCCGAUGGGAAGUCGUUGUCAAGUGGGGUGUUUGUCGAGAAGUGUAAAUAUUUGGAAGAGAGCAAAUGUCUUGGCAUUUGUAUCAACACGUGCAAACUGCCAACCCAGACGUUCUUCAAGGAUCACAUGGGCGUUGAUCUGUACAUGGAGCCGAAUUUUGAAGACUACAGCUGCCAGUUCAACUUUGGAGUGCCACCCCCACCUCUCGACACCGACAAGGCCCUGCAAGAACCCUGCUUGGACAUUUGCACAAACGCGAGACGGCGCAGAGAGCUUGGCAGCAGCGGUGGCCCGGAUGGUCUAUGCCCCCAAGUUUGA